rnacentral:tRNA from 2 species
UUGUAGCGGGUAUAGUUUAGUGGUAAAAGU